CUCGGCUUCCACCUUGUGUCGCGGUAGGCGCAGAGCUCGUUGCCAUAGCCAAUCGGAAGCCAGGUGAUAUCGCCGCAGCCAAUUAGGAACGCAGGGCUCGCUCUCUGGGUUGCCGAGUGGGUAGCGACUUUGCAGUUGGCGCCUCAGUUCCUCUCGGCUGCUCCUAGUGAAUCCGUCUCCAUCACGUCUUUGUGAGGCUGGUAGAGGGAAUGAGAAGCCGCGAGGCAGAACCAAAAAUGAAGGCGAAUCCACUGCAGGCCGGUGGAUCUCUGCACAUGGUUUCUAGAACUGUUGAGGGUACGGCGAGAGGGGGACUGCUGGUGAUGGGGAGGACACGUAGUCGCGUGUGGCAGCAUGAGAUUCCAGAGGAGCUUGGAUGAGGAGCUGCCGAGUCUUAUUUCAGUGGUGGUUCCUUUUCCGAAAGUCAUUUUGACACCAUGAGGGAAGCCAGUGAGGAAUUAUACUCUUGGAAAUAUCUGGACAAGUUACACAGAUCUUGGAAGGAAUAAAACUGAAAGGUAUUUUUCUUAGGAAGUGUCAUCCGUCCAAUUUCUUUGAUCAAGAAUUUGAAUAUCUAUAGUAAGAUACAGGUAGUCCUUGAGUUGCAGUUUUCCAACAUGUGAUUAUUGAAGACCAACCUGUAAAUAAUGCUAUUGCCUACUUGCGCAGAUUAAUUUCAUGACAAUUUAUAAAAAUGGAUUAUCAAGAAAAUAACCAAAUAACAGGACAGCAAACAAAUAAAAAUGAUACUGCCAGUGAAAUUGGAUGAUGACUACAAAGCAAACCUAGGUCAAACCUAGGCUUGUAUCAAGCUAUGGUUAUGAUGCUUUUUAAAAAAAAAAUAAAAUUGCUUCAACAUCUUGUUCCUUUUCUUUUAUUAAAUAGUAUAGGUAACAUCAGCAUUGGUAGUUUAAAUUGUUCUAGUAAUAAAGCUACCUAUGGUUGGAAUGAAA